CAAUAGCGUAUAUUUAAGUUGCUGCAGUUAAAAAGCUCGUAGUUGGAUUUCGGGUGGGAAUGGCCGGUCCGCCGUUUCGGUGUGCACUUGCUACGCCCACCUUGCUGCCGGGGACGUGCUCUUGAGUUCACGCUCGGGACACGGAGUCGGCGAGGUUACUUUGAGUAAAUUAGAGUGUUCAAAGCAGGCCUACGCUCUGAAUACAUUAGCAUGGAAUAACACGAUAGGACUCUGGCCUAUCUUGUUGGUCUGUAGGACCGGAGUAAUGAUUAAGAGGGACAGUCGGGGGCAUUCGUAUUUCAUUGUCAGAGGUGAAAUUCUUGGAUUUAUGGAAGACGAACAUCUGCGAAAGCAUUUGCCAAGGAUGUUUUCAUUAA
rnacentral:rRNA from 1 species